CCUACGGGCGGCUGCAGUGGGGAAUAUUGGACAAUGGGGGGAACCCUGAUCCAGCCAUGCCGCGUGUGUGAAGAAGGCCCUCGGGUUGUAAAGCACUUUCAGUGAGGAAGAACGCCUGGUGGUUAAUACCCAUCAGGAAAGACAUCACUCACAGAAGAAGCACCGGCUAACUCCGUGCCAGCAGCCGCGGUAAUACGGAGGGUGCGAGCGUUAAUCGGAAUUACUGGGCGUAAAGCGCGCGUAGGUGGCUUGAUAAGCCGGUUGUGAAAGCCCCAGGCUCAACCUGGGAACGGCAUCCGGAACUGUCAAGCUAGAGUGCAGGAGAGGAAGGUAGAAUUCCCGGUGUAGCGGUGAAAUGCGUAGAGAUCGGGAGGAAUACCAGUGGCGAAGGCGGCCUUCUGGACUGACACUGACACUGAGGUGCGAAAGCGUGGGUAGCAAACAGGAUUAGAUACCCUUGUAGUC
rnacentral:rRNA from 1 species